rnacentral:rRNA from 1 species
UACAGAGGUCCCAAGCGUUGUUCGGAUUCACUGGGCGUAAAGGGUGCGUAGGUGGUCGGGUAAGUCUGAUGUGAAAUCUCGGAGCUUAACUCCGAAACUGCAUUGGAUACUAUUCGGCUGGAGGGUUGGAGGGGGGACUGGAAUUCUCGGUGUAGCAGUGAAAUGCGUAGAUAUCGAGAGGAACACCAGUGGCGAAGGCGAGUCCCUGGACAACUCCUGACACUAAGGCACGAAAGCUAGGGGAGCAAACAGG